rnacentral:rRNA from 1 species
UGAACGCUGGCGGCGUGCCUAAUACAUGCAAGUCGAGCGAACAGACGAGGAGCUUGCUCCUCUGACGUUAGCGGCGGACGGGUGAGUAACACGUGGAUAACCUACCUAUAAGACUGGGAUAACUUCGGGAAACCGGAGCUAAUACCGGAUAAUAUAUUGAACCGCAUGGUUCAAUAGUGAAAGACGGUUUUGCUGUCACUUAUAGAUGGAUCCGCGCCGCAUUAGCUAGUUGGUAAGGUAACGGCUUACCAAGGCAACGAUGCGUAGCCGACCUGAGAGGGUGAUCGGCCACACUGGAACUGAGACACGGUCCAGACUCCUACGGGAGGCAGCAGUAGGGAAUCUUCCGCAAUGGGCGAAAGCCUGACGGAGCAACGCCGCGUGAGUGAUGAAGGUCUUCGGAUCGUAAAACUCUCUUAUUAGGGAAGAACAAAUGUGUAAGUAACUAUGCACGUCUUGACGGUACCUAAUCAGAAAGCCACGGCUAACUACGUG